UACAGAGGGUGCGAGCGUUAAUCGGAAUACUGGGCGUAAAGCGUGCGCAGGCGGCUUUGCAAGACAGAUGUGAAAUCCCCGGGCUCAACCUGGGAACUGCAUUUGUGACUGCAUGGCUGGAGUGCGGCAGAGGGGGAUGGAAUUCCGCGUGUAGCAGUGAAAUGCGUAGAUAUGCGGAGGAACACCGAUGGCGAAGGCAAUCCCCUGGGCCUGCACUGACGCUCAUGCACGAAAGCGUGGGGAGCAAACAGG
rnacentral:rRNA from 1 species